rnacentral:tRNA from 3 species
GCCCAGAUGGCGGAAUUGGUAGACGCACUAGGUUCAGGUCCUAGCGGUAGCAAUACUGUGCAAGUUCGAAUCUUGUUCUGGGCA